CAUAGCAACGGCGCGCCGACAUCACGUGACCGGCCGCGGGGGCGCUGAGGGGCACGUGACCCGCAGACCUGGAGGGGCAGGGCCCGCGGCCCCUCCCGGGGGAGCCAAGGGGUCUCCGAAGCUUGGAUAUUGCUCUUGCCCGGACCGCCCGGGACCGCAAGACGGGACGAGCAGGGACGCGAAAAACUGCGAGGGGUGCGCAUCUCUCCUGUUCCCCCCAACGCACCGUGUAUCACGGUGAAUGUGGAUUGGCGCGGCGGGGAGGCCUCCCGGAAGCCUGGGUAUUCCUCGCUCUCGCUUCCCCCUCCCCAGCCCCAGCUGCGCGGCGCUCUGGGCCCGAGCGGCAGGAAGACUAGGUUGCGCCUUCUCUGACCCCUGGGUCUCGCUAGCAAGUGUAAGGCAGUGUGUGCCCUGCGCCGCCCGAGCCAGACUGCACGUCCUUUAGAAGCUUCCUCUGCCAGCUGGUGAGGCCUCCACCCCCGUCACACCUGGACAGAAGCAAAAUAUCUGGAGCUGCUGGAAGGCAAGGACUGCACCUUCUCGCCAUCACCUGCACUGCCUAGCAAAGCCCACUGAGGAAUCCUGAGGACUGAGCAUUGUCGCACUCCAACACCAGCUACCAUGCUAUGGAAUAAGAAAACUGAAAACUGCCUGGGGACUCAAGCAGGUAACAGAUUAAGUUCUGAAAACACUGCCUCUGUGUACUGGAACUGAACAACUAAAGAAAUGGAGGGUGAAUGGUGGGAGCCUGGUUACUCAAGAGUGGCAGGCUGAAAAGGCUAAAAUGAUCCAUGUGCCAAUGGACUGGAGCCAGAGAGAUCUGAGAUAGCAUUCAAAACCAACAACCUCGCAAUUACAGUAGCUGUGAAAACCAGCAGCCCAGCAGCCACUGAAGGAGGUAAACUGUUCUGUCAGUUCCUCAGAAGUUCCAUACUCAGAGCACUGUCCCUAUCUGACCUGACUGGCAGCUCCCCGGAAACUUCUGCUUGCAAGGCUUGUCUUUAUUUGACCUGAUUCAGUGAGGCUUUUCUCCCAGAGUGUUUGUUAAAAGCCAUCAGUGGCAACUGUUUAACAUUAUAGCUGCCUACAGCAGGCAGAGCUAACAGUAAAAGCAAACAAGAAAGUGGCCAAAGGCUUGAGAAGAAAGCUGGUAAUCUAGAAGGCCAAAUGCAUGUGCAGAACUGUGCACAUGUCUAAGAAAGACAACUGAUGGCCCUGAUCUCAACUCUGUCUGACCAUGAGGCUCUGUGCAGAGAGAUGAAAGCUAAGGCAAAAUUGUAAACUACCUGCCAGAAUAUUGAAGGCAUGUUCAUACACACACACAGCCCCUUGGCAAAGACUGGGACACCUACUGGUUCAAGGCACUUAAGGAAAUCUCAAAUAUUCAGCUGACCACUAAGCUAACCAAACAGACUUUGGUGGCCACACACAACAAAGAACA